UGGGUCGGCUGGACGGUCGCGUCACGGGUUCGCCCGUGCCGAGGAACGUCCGGGCUCCACAGGGCAGGACGGUGGGUAACGCCCACCCGGAGCAAUCCGCGAGACAGUGCCACAGAGAGUAGACCGCCCGCACCGCACUCGUCGUGGAGCGGGUAAGGGUGAAAGGGUGGUGUAAGAGACCACCGGGGUCGUGGUGACACGACUCGCGAGGUAAACCUCGUCCGGAGCAAGGCCAGACAGGGGAUGUUGACGCGGCUCGCCGAGUCCCCGGGUAGGCCGCUGGAGUGGCACGGCAACGUGUCGCCGAGAGAGAUGACCGUCCACGGGGCUUCGGCCCCCGGACAGAACCCGGCGUACAGGCCGGCCCAUUCG
rnacentral:RNase_P_RNA from 1 species